GAUCCAGCCAUGCCGCGUGCAGAAGACUGCCCUAUGGGUUGUAACGCUUUUAUACAGGAAGAAUAUACCUACGUGUAGUAUUUGACGGUACUGUACGAAUAAGAUCGGCUAACUCCGUGCCAGCAGCCGCGGUAAUACGGAGGAUCCAAGCGUNAUCCGGAAUCAUUGGGUUUAAAGGGUCCGUAGGCGGGAAUCUAAGUCAGUGGUGAAAUCUUGCAGCUCAACUGUAAAAUUGCCAUUGAUACUGGAUUUCUUGAAUUAGUGUGAAGUGAUUAGAAUGUGUAGUGUAGCGGUGAAAUGCAUAGAUAUUACACAGAAUACCAAUUGCGAAGGCAGAUCACUAACACUAUAUUGACGCUGAGGGACGAAAGCGUGG
rnacentral:rRNA from 1 species